CAGUGCGUACCAGUCAAGUGAAGAAAAAUAGUCAGCUGAUUGAAUAGCACCACCUUAUCUGAAUUCGCCUUGAUUAUGACUAAAAUUUUAUUUUAUAAAUAGCCGUCGCUUAAUUUUUUCAAACAAGCCGCCGAAUUCCUCAUUAGCCGCCUCCGAAAAUUUUGUUUCGGCUUGUUUCUCUGACCCUCUUGUAGUGAAACAAAAAAUGUUCUUUAUCCAAAAUUUCUUCGAUAUUUUUUUUUCCAUUUAAAUCUGUGAACCAAUUUAAGUUGUCUGCAAUUAUGUGAUUAUUGGAGCAGCCAUCACAUUUUACAAUUACAACACCUUUUUCGUAAGCUAUUUUGGAGAUUGUUUUCAUAUUUCUUUUUGAACAAAUUUUACAGGUAUAAAUAAGUUGAAGUUUUUUAUUCAAUUUGCCAGUAGAAUCACAAUCUUCGGUACUUUUUAAACUCUGUAUAUUUUCUGGCACGCAAACUCUCUGUGCCAAAUUCCUAGCUGGAACCAACAAUGUACAAAAAUUGUGAUGCAAAAAAUGGUGUUGUAUCCUUACAUUUCCAAUUUUUAAUAUUCCAUUUCUUAGCAGCUUGCAGAUCAAAGACAUUAUAUUCCUUGUCAAAUACCAAAUUGUAUAUAUAAAUAAAUGUAUAAAUAAAUAAAUACACUUUGAACAAAUAUUCCCAACGAA